UACGUAGGGGGCAAGCGUUAUCCGGAUUUACUGGGUGUAUAGGGAGCGUAGACGGCAGGGCAAGUCUGGAGUGAAAGGCAGGGGCCCAACCCCUGGACUGCUCUGGAAACUGUCCGGCUGGAGUGCAGGAGAGGUAAGUGGAAUUCCUAGUGUAGCGGUGAAAUGCGUAGAUAUUAGGAGGAACACCAGUGGCGAAGGCGGCUUACUGGACUGUAACUGACGUUGAGGCUCGAAAGCGUGGGGAGCAAACAGG
rnacentral:rRNA from 1 species